CGGGGCGGGGCGGGCGUCCCGAGGGGCCGAGGGCGCCCAGCCGGGGACGGAGAGGACCUGGUGCUCAGAUAUCCCAGUCUGGACAAGGAGCUCAUUUUCUUGCUGGUUUAUAAACAUGUGCUAUGCCAUAAAAGAAGAAGUAUAGUCUGGAGCGUCAGUCUGUGCUGAAAUACACCAAGUCUUCUCCACUACCUCGUACAGUUCUGCAUUCAUGAAAGCCAUGUUAACCAUGUCUGACAAAAACAAUUUAGAAAACAAUCAACUGCUUCAGCUUACAAGAAGAACUAAAUAGUGCUCAACUCCAAGAUAAUAAGAGUUGUUAAAACAAAACAAAACAAAACAAUGCUAUCCCUAGUUCUUCUCUUGGUUUGGCAGAAUGCCAAAUUUGCAUGCUGUGGGGGUUUAAGAAGCUUUAAAUUAUAAAGGACUAACUAUGUUUUAGCUAGUGCUUUUUAUCCAUGAUCAGGGUUCCACACUCUGGUACAGUGUAUAAGAUUUAUAUUCUAAGUAUAUUAAUCAUUACCGUUGGAAGGCUGAGAGGCACAAACUUCACAUGCGGUUGGCAAUGUUAUGAAAUCAGUUAAGACAAGAUUUUUAAGAGCAUAGUGUCUCACUGGGGCUGUGCUGCAUGGGGCAAGAGGCCCUUUGUUAUUAGUUACGUUGAAUUUUGACAAUGAAUUAGUUUGCUCUUAAGGGGGCUGAGGAUGGCAUUGUACUCCGCUCUUGCAAUGUAAAUUCAGGAAAAAGUAAAACUUUUGCUUUCUACUUUAAAUUUUAUGGCCCCCUUUUGAGUUGUACCUAGGUGGGAUUAUUGUAAGGAGUGUUUUCUCAGCAGCCAAAUUACUACUACUGCAGUGAAACAAUUCUGUUCCAAGCCUAGGAAGUACAGAUAAGAAAAAAAAUAGAAACAUUAAUCUAAACUUUGUGGUUAAAUAAUUCUGUAGUUGCAAUUCCUCCUUCCUUUUUUUUUUUUUUAAUUAUUUAUUGUUUUGGUGAGCUAAUUCAUCCAUAUCGGGUGUUAUAUCAGUUCUGAAUAGGCUGAAGUCGCCGUAGUUUAUAACUCUCUCACAGGGGUUUCUGAACCUUUUAAAUCUAUGGUAAGAGAGGUGGUGGUAGUGUAGCUACAUGCUAGCUGUACGUGAAUGGAGAACUGUUAUGCAGGAUACAGUACAGGCUCAAAUAACAUUAGCAGGGAAAGUCCAAGGAAGGACCCUGGGAAUAGGUCACUGUUUUCAAUCUUUCCAGUUUCAACACAGGCAGAAGCUGUUUCAUGCUGCACAGUGGAGGAGAGGGUAUGGAGGGUAUGGAGGGUUGUGCAGUCCUCAGGGAACUUAUGAUUUGGCAGGUGUAUUCCCCCUUCACAAAUAUGCUCCUAGCCUGUAGUUCCUGGCAUCUUGCCUGUUUUUCUGGUUUGAAAAGGGAGCGGAGAAUUUUUAUGUAUAAAAGUACCUCUGUCUUACAGGUCACCUCAAAUAGUCAUGGAGCAGCUGCCACGCUUUCUAUUUGGCCUUAAGCCUCACACUGCGUGACAGACAAACUUUUUAUCUGAAAGCACCAGGGAAUAUAACAUAUAUGUGUAUAUAUCUGUAUAUAUAUAUUUGAAAUAAACACUUGCACUAAAUAGGAAAUAUUGUUCAGAUACAAAUCAGAGUUUGUCCUAAAGAGGAAGAAAAAUACUUGGUGAAAUACUUGGUGAAAAAGAUAUUUGAAAGAUGUUUGGCUUUCUAUUUUCACUUUCUACAUUAAUAAUCAUUCAAAGAUUUUUGGUACUGAUUAUAGUGUUUCCUCUUCCCUU